GCCGAGGAAAGGGGAACGGCCCUGAAAGAAGCCAGUUUGCUAAACGCUUAUCUCAAAAUCGAGCUCUUUCUCUCUCAGGCAGAGAAUUGCUGCCAAAGAUCUUCACACUGAGAUAACAUCGCCUCCUGCCAAUGAAGAGUUGGCGCCAAGCCAUCAUAGGAAAGCAAGCAGUCAAUGGCAUGAAGAGACGUCCGUCGGUUCCCAUGGCAAGGCCUGGGUUUGUAUGAAUGGAGCCAGACCACCAGCUGGAAUAAACACCAUCUUGGCACUGGCAUGGCAUGUCUGGUUAGCACCAGCAGCAGAAUCGUACUUUGUUUUGCAGAGUUCGUUUUUGUAAUUUAAAGAGGGAAACUGUCCAUGCGCUGCCAUGUUAUCACCCAAGCAAAAGUUAACAGGUAUUUUUUUGAGAGCCACUCGGUCCCCUUCCGCACAUGCAGAAUAAUGCACUUGCAAUCCACUUUGCAGCUGGAUUUUACUGUGCGGAAUAGCAACAUCCACUAGCAAACCAUUGUGAAAGUGGAUUAAAACUGCAUUAUUCUGCAUGUGCAGAAGGGACCUAUAAUAGAACAUGGAUGCCCAACGUGGUGCCCAUGUGAGUAUGGGUGCCCACGCACACCUUUCUUGCUGCCUGUUUUUAACAAGUGGGCGAAGACAUUCUUCUGCUUUUGUUAGUUCUGUUAACCUAUUAAAGACUGUUUGGUGGUUCA